rnacentral:rRNA from 1 species
UACGUAGGGGGCGAGCGUUGUCCGGAUUCAUUGGGCGUAAAGAGCUCGUAGGCGGUUCGGUAAGUCAGGUGUAAAAACUCCAGGCUCAACUUGGAGAGGCCACCUGAUACUGCCGUGACUAGAGUCCGGUAGAGGAGCAUGGAAUUCCUGGUGUAGCGGUGAAAUGCGCAGAUAUCAGGAGGAACACCAGCGGCGAAGGCGGUGCUCUGGGCCGGAACUGACGCUGAGGAGCGAAAGCGUGGGGAGCGAACAGG